AAUGGCACUUCCUGGCAAACCAACCUGCAGACAUCCCCUGACGUGGACACGGGAGAUAUGGGGGGUAAUUUUUCAGAGAAGGGAGAAGGACAAUCCAGGUCGCUGUCCUUUUCCGUGGAGCAGAGGGGCGCCCGCAGAACCCUACUCUUCAGUUUUGCAGAUGUGCUGUCCUCAAAGACAUCGUCGUCUCCCAUCUCGUCAGAGCAGAAGCCCAUACUCCCUGCCAGCCCGCUGGAGGACUUGGCAGUGUGCAGGCGAGCAGCGCAGCUCUCCAGCUCAUGGAACCUGUGCAGGCUGCUGGCGCUCAAGCCGUGCGAGAGUGAGAACAGGUACUGGAGCAGUUGCCGGCUUCGGGACGUGGCCUCACCAUCCGCCUUCUCUUCCAGCAGCAGGCCGGGCCUGCCCCCCUUGCCAGCUUCCACCUCUGAGGCAGUUGAGCGACCGGCAGAAAGGCAUGAAACACAAGAAUGUUUGGAAUUGCCAAGAGAUGUCCUGGCUGGAUGGCGUGAUAGAAGUGCGAGAGAAGGAGGACACCGGAGCCGGAGCUGAUGCUGACGGAGGACUCCCAGCCUGCAAUGACAGACCUGUGGUCAGUGUUCAGGUAAGAGCCAAGGGGAUUGUGUGCACUGUCUCCUGAAUGGUGACAGGGAGAAACCCUAGAAAUGUCUGCUGCUUCCCGCUGCUCAACGAGUAACACAUAUUAGAUCCUUCUAAGCCUUGGCAAAACAAAUCAAAUAUCACUAUUUUUUUCUUAUCUGUGGAUAAAAGUGUAAGAAAUGUCUAAGGCUAUGGAACACCACUACUAAUCUCUUGCAGGUCCAGUGGCCGUUUAUUUUCUAAGCAUCUAAAUUGAGUUAGUUCAUAUAUAAGUCAAAAAACGAAGUACUAGAAGGUAUCAUACAAAUGCCAAAGAAAUAUGAGGCUCCAGGCCUGCUGGCACUGGCUUCCCUAGCACUCUCUCCUAGUUCCCAAGAUCAACAAGGCUGGUAGAUUUAAGAGCUCUCUCCCACCUCACAACCUCAUACAUAGUGCCAGAUGCUCCCUGAGUUCCACAAAACCUCACUGCCCUGCCACAGCUCUUCACACAAAAGGGAGUCCAGACCACGUCACCAUGGGGGACACCAAUCCAUAGCUCAACCAGGGGCUGAGGUAGAGCACAGAAUGCUCCCAACAGAUCUAAUCUUGAAACUGUAAAUUAAGAAAAAUAAUCAAGAAAAUUUAGAUUUGAAAGAAAGUACAGCAAGAGGUCAUGGGAUAGAACAGAGUCUCUGGGGUGGUGAAUAGUCAAACUUAGAGAAAAAAAUCUAGGAAGGAGAGGAAGCACUGCAGUGAGGAGAGAAAUGGACAGAGAGAAAUAGGGACAGUGAGUGGCACUGAGCUGAGGAUGCACCACCACCGCUAGAGGGCCCCAGACUCCCACGCCAGCCUCGGAUUCCCCAGGCUCCACAGCCCCACAGACCUAUGCGUAUUCAUAAAAAAGCAUUCUUCCCUCCUUAAGACAGUAAGCCUGAGUAAGAAUCUGCUCCAUGCAACCCCAACAGCCCCAGGAAAACAGUGCCACGAGUCUGUUAUCACCAGAAAGGCCAUAUCACCACCCACCUUCUGCAGGCCCACCUGCAUGGCCCUUGGCCCUAACUCCUUGAUACAAAGGAGCUCCACCCUGGCCCACCAUUCCCUGGCUGAGGCCUAGUCCCCACUCUUUCUAAGUACCAUCCCCAAGGGUGCACUCUCAUCCUGGAACUCCACCUUUGGGACCCCCGACCCUUGGUCAACCACCAGAACAGAUAAGGCCAUUGCCUGGAAACUCCUCCUCCCCCUACCCCUCACAGCAAAUGAAGCAGCCUGGAGAGAGCCAGGAUGGCACUCGGAUUAAGGCACCCAUCGCAUGGCUGCUCCCACUCCCAGUGCAGAGAUUCAACAGCACUUUAAUGCAAGUCCACCUGAAGAAACAAGAUCCAAGAAGCUCUCAUCAGCAUGCUUCAUGUGUACACUGAGAUCACGCUGUGCCACUCCAUGAGCACAUCUUCGAAUUCACCAAAGAAUCUACAUUUAUUUUCUAACUGAAUGUGCAUAUGGGCAUGAGGUACACGGUCUUUAAAAGCAUUAGAGGUCAAAGUUCUUAGGAAUCUUAAGUUUACUUGGACACAUGAAAAUAGCAUCCUUGAAAUAACCCUCCCAUCACUACCUUUGUCAAUAUUCUUCCUGAAACAAAAUGAAAGACAUCUAGGGAUGCCUGUGGACACUAUGCUGUGACAUCCCUUGCAUCUUCUAGGCCUGACUGCAUAAGCCAUUGUCCUUUUUCUCCAACUGCCUUAGACACUGUCCCCUCUCCAGCAUCCUCCUCUCGGGGCACCCAUCACUGGCUCCACCUGCCCCAGAGACAAGCACUCAAGGCCUUUUAGUACAAUGGGCUUUACUGUUUAUACCACAGGGGAGCAGAUUGAGAGGGUAUCCAUGCUAAGGUCCCCAAACUCCUACAGUCCCCCUGUUCUCUGACAUUUAGUCCUAACACUAUUCUGGGACUGAAAGCCUUCCUGUACUUAUUGCUCUCUUCUUUUAUUUCUGAGGAUGACCAGCUCUGUUCAACACACAUAGGCAAGGCUAAAAUGUGUCAUGAAGACCAAAGCCUGAUCACGGUGUAUUGCAGAGAAGUAAGCGUCUUCAUCACCUGUCCCCAGGUAGACUUUGAGGAAGAAAUACCCAGCAAUAUCCACAUGCUUGCCCCUCAUUGCUAUGAGGUCACUUCUUCCUCUGUGUUGCUGGGUCAAGCAUACUCCCUGGAACUGAUGAGGCAUUGAAGGAAGCCCCCUUCCUUCAAGGGAUGGCAGCAGAGGAAAGUACCUAGUCACCCUCCUCCCUUUUAUCUUAGUAAGAGCAUGGUCCUCUUGGAACCACGUGUACUUUCCUGUAUUCUGAAGGGAAGGCAAACCCUGUUGGGAGGAGGUAAGGUCUUAUCUGGAAAAUCGUGCCCAAUCAAGGUCAGUGUCCUGGGUCCGGGAGGCAGGUUUCUGAUGGGAAAUUAAAGUUCUGAACUCCAGUACUAAACUACAAGUAAUCCAAGUCAAAAAGUGUACUCUGGGGUAACGAUUCCAUCCUUGCAUGCCCAUGAUGAGGAGCAAGGCCUGAAGGUAGGAGGGCAGAGCCUCGUAACAAAACAAAGCCUGGAUCAAGGAAGCAGCCACACCAGGCACACACACACGUCAGGACAUGUGUUCACUUCCCUGUGUGGUUCCCCAUGUGUGUGCACUUGUAGCAGAUGUCAAGGCCAGCAUGACAGUGACAGCGGACCCAAGGAGGAAGGGAGUUCUGGCAGGGCUGGGGAGAUUCUGCCCUGCUCAGUUUUACUUAGGAAAUAGGAAACAGCGUUGGCAUCCUCUGCCUACAUUUCUGCUCUCAUUUCACCAUUUCCAAUCUUAUGAAAACAUUACAGGAUACUCUCAGCAGGUAUGUCCGAUCCUCAUCAAGCCUCCCAAUGACAGAGAAAGAGUCUCUCUUCUUAUUAGAUCACAGAAUUUAAAGAAAAAUUUUAAAAUCUACUUAUUGUUAUUUUACAUAAAUAUAAACUUCAACAAAUGCUAACUCUUCCAAUAAAAGCAAGAAAACCAGUGAGAUCUGUGGGGUCUUCACAGCUCCCAGAAGAGGCUCCUUCUGUCACGAUCUAAAGGACAGCAAACAUUUCAAAGGUCAGAACCAAUCCAUAGGCAGAAUGGUCAAGAAAAUAAUUUUAAAGAGCUUUAUUUGUUGCUGCUAUAGACCUGAGAGAAAUCUAUCAACCAACAAAGACCUAAAAGACUGGCCUGAUCAACAACAAAAUGAAGCUGACAGCUUCAAAUAAUGGUUCCAUGGUCAGAUUCUGGAAGCCAGUGUAAUCAAAGGCCAGCAAUCCCCUCUUAGGAGCUCUGCAGGACAGAACCUUACUAGAUGGGACAGGACCUCACUAGAUGGGACAGGACCAGCCGUCCUGCUCUUUCUGAAAGCAGCAGGCAGUGUGGCACGUGUGAGCCGGGGGCAGUACUAGCUCCAGAGAACACCUACACUCUCCUCUCCAUAGGAUCAGACCACACACGACUCGACAAUUACUAAUAAAAGUGCAAAUGUUCAUCAUGCAAAAAUCCAAAUGUGUCAAGAAAACUUAGGCCCUCUGUUCCUGAAGUUCUUUGCGGGUUGCCAAAUGACAGACUCUCCAGUCAUGAAAAGGAAUAUAAAGCAAUCUCACUACAAAAAAAAAAAUUCUUGUAAAAAUCCUCCCUUCUUCAGAUGUUGUAAUUAAUUAUGCCAAAACAAACCUCUGGAUUUCUAUCCAAGCCUAAAUCCCAGUUUAUUUUAUUUCUUAGAAAUGAUAAAUACUUUUUGACAAUUUGUUUUGCUACAUCCAAGUCUUUUAGUGGCUGGCUUUGUUAUCAAAUUCACCAUUUUAAAUGAUUUUAACAAGGUUGCCAAAGAACAUACGGGGAAAAAAAACUUUUCCAUAUAUCCUUGGCAGAAACUGGCAUUCCCCUUUUCUCAGUUCCCUUCUGAGAGUGCCUGCUGUCGCUGGAGCAGCUAUAGCAGUGUGUUUACCCAGUUGAUAGUGCACACAUCCUUCUCACUGCAGGACACCAGCGCACCUUCCUUGGCCUCUGGCGCCUUCUGCCAGGUUACUGCCCAGCCUCCUCUAUUACCCACGCCCCUCAUUUUCUGUGCAACCCCCAACUGGGCCUCCUUUUCACUCAUCAGCUAAGCUACUUUUAAACAUUUGGGUCUCAGGCCCCUAACAAAAGCAAAUUUGCCCAUCUGAUUUAUUUCAAAAGGGAGAGGGCCACAGGAAUGAUCUGUUUGAGUGAGCUUGUUUUUAGGCAAGGAGGAACGUGAAGACAGGCUGGAUAAGGAUGGUUAAGAGGCCAGAAGAGCUCAUGUUUACAACUCAUCACAAAUUACAGUACUGCAAAUCAAUGACUUAACAGAAACAAUGGGAAAAGAUGCACAGAUGGCUCUCAAAACAUGAAAAGAUGCUUCAUUUCUCUCACAAUGAGAAAUACAAAUUAAAACUACAAUGAGAUACCAUUAUCAGCCAAGAAAAUUAAUCAAAUAAUAUGUGUUGGCGGAAGUGUUGGGAAGCAGGUAUGCUUAUACAUUGCUGGUGGGAGAGCAAAUGGUAAACCUCCACAGGAUGACAACUGCCCUCAGGAUGACAAAGGCACAUAUACUUUGUCUCAGCAAUUCUUUUAGGAAUUCAUCCUCACACACCUGCGGGAAGAGGUUUGUACACUGCACUAGUUUGUGACAGCAAACGGCUGGAAUCACCCUAAAUGCCCAUCACCUUGGAGCUGAGGCAACACUGUUCCAUCUACAGAAAGAAAUAUCAGCAAUCAUUAAAAAAAUGGGAAAAGUUCUCAUUAUGUCCAGUAAUGAACACACAAAGUGAAACAAGCAGAGAGAGGCACCACUGCCAUCUGUGCUGGUGCUGCACAGACUACUCAGGAGGGAGACCAGGGAACCUGGAUGGAGGGACAUGGACUUGUCACAGAGACCCACAAAACCAUAAUGCCACUUUACACUGAGCAACAUUUCCCAAACAGAAAUUCAUUCUUAAAAUAACAGGUGAUUGAUGAUUUUAAAAAGUAAAACAAAACUGCAGAAGCACAACCAACUGCAACAACUUUCCGACUUUGGGAUGACAGGUAAAGAAAUCAAUGUAGUGGGUGAUGACCUAUGUUUUUAAAAGUACAAUAAAAUAGAAUAUGUCAGAAUGUAUCUGACAUAAAAAGGAUAAAGUCUUUUGAGGUAAUUUUGUCUCUCAGAUGUGUAUGCAAAAGUGAACUGGGUUUCAAUAUAAAAGCCACUGCGCCCAGCCUAAACACUGCUCUUUAGAUGUCCAUUUAUUUGGACUUAAAAUAUAUAGUGCAGGACAACAUCAGAGAUAUUUUCCAGAAAGCAAGUCCCAAAACUCAUUCAAAUCAGUCAUUCUUUCCACACUUAUUUACUAUGCAACUACUAUGUGUGAACAACUGUGUCAGGCAUAGAAUAUGGACCAAAAUCUCACUCCUAACCAUAUGCCAAUGAUAAUAUUGAGAAUCCCUUAUUUGAAAUGCUUGGGACCAGAACUGUUUCAUAUUUCUGAGUUUUUUGGACUUUGGAAUAUUUGCAUUAUACUUACAGGUGGAGCAUCCCAAAUCUGAGAAUUCAAAAUCUGAAAGGUGACAAUGAGCACUUACUUUGAGUGUCAUGCUGACAUUCCAAAGUUUCAGAUUUUGAAGCAUGCUGGAUUUCGAGUUUGUGGAUUAGGGACGCUCAACGUGUAUUACCACUGAACUCCUCUGAAAAAGUGUUUUGGUGAGAAAUGUCCAAACUAGGGAAGAGCUUAAGAAUGACAUAAAAGAAGCACAUACAUAAAGUAUAUCAAGGUGGAAGUGUGACACCACUCUGCCCUGUAGUCAGAAUGGCAUCUUGGUUCUGAAUGAGAAGUAAAGUUUGCCAAGCAUCAAUGUAAAGAAGUGGAAUUAGACAUACCAAGGAGAAAAAAGUUCCAGUUCAAGCCCAAACUAAGCUUCAAUGCCCAAGUAAUAAAAACCCUGGCAAAUUAUUUACAGCUCUUUAACACAUUCAGUCACUGCUUACUGGAUACCACCACCUUGUGACCCCAGGAGAGAUGGAAGCCUCGCUGCAUCUUCCUUCCUUCCUCAGAGAAGGUACUAAGAGAUGCCACACACUACCCUGGCUUUCAUCUCCACAUCUCUCUGGUGGGCUCUUUUCAUCUACAUUCAACAUGAGAGCUCCUCAGAACACAGCCUCAUGCCCUCUAGAUUUCAUUUGUUUUCUCCUUUAGCCAGUGCUUUUCCAACUCUGGACACCUAAUCAUUUAGGGAUCUUGCUAAAAUGUAGAUUGUGGUUUGUUAGGUCUAGGGGGGACUCAGAUUUCUGCAUUUCCAAAAAGCUCCCAGGUGACUCCCAUGCUGCUGUCCCCAGACCACAGUUUGAGGUGCAAGUUUUCAUUCCAAAUCUUGAACCAGAAAAAUCAAUAAAGUCUAUGAGUUUUGUUUGUUUGUUUUUAAGACAGGGUUUUGCCAUGUUGUCCAGGCUGGAGGACAGUAGCUAUUCACGAGUACCAUCAUGUCAUACUACAGUCUCUAAUUCCUGGGCUCAAGUGAUCCUCCCACCUCAACCUCCCAAGUAGCUGAGAUUACAGGCAUACUACUGCACCCAAUUUAUGACUCAUGUUUUAAAAAGCAAAUCAUGACCAUUUUAAAAGUAAAUUCCUAUGUAAAAGAUGGCUGUGAGCCCACAAUUGAGUUAAUACAAAUCAAUCAAUCAGGAAACACAAUGGUACAGAUUGGGAAAGACUGAGUCUGAGGGUGUGAGAAAACAAAGUUUUCUUAAUGUGAGAAGCUACCAGAUCACAAAGAUAAAGAGAAGCUCUGCUGAAGAAUAAGGCACAUUUUACAAUUUAAUCAGUGCUGUCAAUGAUGUUUUUCACAAGUCCACAUGUGGCUCCCAACAGAAUGUACUUGUGGGUAGAGCCAAGGCAUAAAACUCACAUAGACCAAAUACACCCUGGAAAGUAGAAACCAAUAAUUAUCAAGAAGACAACGAGGUGAGAUGCCUAAGCGAGUUUUUGGGAUUCUGUAUGAAAGAGUCAAACAAUAGGACUUCAUCAUGUGGGGUUUUCCUGAAACUCUGACCAGGACUGGUCCUUAAAAAAAAAGACAAAAUAUGUGGGCAAUGAACACCGCUAACUACAUACUCAAUACCUAUCUCCCUUUGUCCCCACCAAAAGAACCCUGACUUUGUCCUGAGCAGCAACAAACCCAGCUAAAAGUUCUCACUUUUCCACACUACUUUGCAGUUAAGGAAAACUAUUAAAUAUAUAAAAAGUUCUUUUGAAAGAAAUUAACUAAAGAUUUCCUGGGAAAACAUUUUGCUUUCCUGAUAUUGCCAUUGCCCAUUUCUCUGGAAUUCCUCCUCCCUCAUCCAGCCUGGAAUAUAGACGUAAUACCACGAAGUAAAGCAGUUCACUUUGGGACUAUGAAGAAGAUAGUUACUAGAAGUCUGAAACUUUUUGGUCUCAGGACCCCUUUAUCCUGUAAAAAAUGAUUAAGGGCCAAGCGUGGUGACUCACACCUGUAAUCCCAGCACUUGGGAGGCCGAGGUGGGAGGAUCACCUGAGGUCAGGAGUUCGAGACCAGCCUGGCCAACAUGGUGAAACC
rnacentral:lncRNA from 1 species